UACAGAGGGGCAAGCGUUGUUCGGAAUUACUGGCGUAAAGGGCGCGUAGGCGGCCUGCUAAGUCGAACGUGAAUCCCUGGCUCACCCAGGAACUGCGUCCGAUACUGGUUGGCUUGAAUCCGGAGAGGAUGUGGAAUUCCAGGUGUAGCGGUGAAUGCGUAGAUAUCUGGAGGAACACCGGUGGCGAAGGCGGCAAUCCUGGACCAACACUGGACGCUGAGGAGCGAAAGCCAGGGAG
rnacentral:rRNA from 1 species